UACGUAGGGGGCAAGCGUUGUCCGGAAUUAUUGGGCGUAAAGAGCGCGUAGGCGGUCCGAUAAGUCGGCUGUGAAAGUCAGGGGCUCAACCCUUGGAAGCCGGCCGAUACUGUCGGACUAGAGUCCGGAAGAGGCGAGUGGAAUUCCCGGUGUAGCGGUGAAAUGCGCAGAUAUCGGGAGGAACACCAGUGGCGAAGGCGGCUUACUGGUCCGGUUCUGACGCUGAGGCGCGAAAGCGUGGGGAGCAAACAGG
rnacentral:rRNA from 1 species